rnacentral:rRNA from 1 species
GAUCAGUGGCUCAGAACGACGCUGGCGGCAGGCCUAACACAUGCAAGUCGAGCGCCCCGCAAGGGGAGCGGCGGACGGGUGAGUAACGCGUGGGAACGUACCCUUUGCUACGGAAUAGCCUCGGGAAACUGGGAGUAAUACCGUAUGUGCCCUUCGGGGGAAAGAUUUAUCGGCAAAGGAUCGGCCCGCGUUGGAUUAGGUAGUUGGUGGGGUAAUGGCCUACCAAGCCGACGAUCCAUAGCUGGUUUGAGAGGAUGAUCAGCCACACUGGGACUGAGACACGGCCCAGACUCCUACGGGAGGCAGCAGUGGGGAAUCUUAGACAAUGGGCGCAAGCCUGAUCUAGCCAUGCCGCGUGAGCGAUGAAGGCCUUAGGGUUGUAAAGCUCUUUCAGUGGGGAAGAUAAUGACUGUACCCACAGAAGAAGCCCCGGCUAACUCCGUG